UCAACGUUGUGCUCACAAUUCUGCUGACUCAGUCUUGUCCGUGUCCCUGGCACAUUGUGAGCCUUUGGAGCAGAACCCUAAGCUCAGCCCUCUCUAGCUGAGGGAGCCUAGGCGUAUCACGGUGAUUCUGAGCUACAGCUUCCUCUGCAAAAUGCCUCUUUCCAUCGUCACAACCGAGUAGGACGGGCAAGGCGUCUAGCAUGAACGGAGAACAGCGUCCUGGGCUCUCGAUCACGACUGGUCUCCCUCUGCCUUAAAAGCCUUCCACGACUUCUGUGAAGGAUAAAUGCUGUGAAAUCUUUUCCCUAAACAUUACAGCAGUGGAUAAAGAAAAAACAUGUUGGCGCUGUGACAAGUUCCUGCUUCCUCCCAG